UACAGAGGGUGCGAGCGUUGUCCGGAAUCACUGGGCGUAAAGGGCGCGUAGGCGGCUCAGUAAGGUUGCGGUGAAAGCCCGGGGCUCAACCCCGGGUCGGCCGUGGCAACUGCUGGGCUGGAGCACUGUAGAGGCAGGCGGAAUUCCGGGUGUAGCGGUGGAAUGCGUAGAGAUCCGGAAGAACACCGGUGGCGAAGGCGGCCUGCUGGGCAGUUGCUGACACUGAGGCGCGACAGCGUGGGGAGCAAACAGG
rnacentral:rRNA from 1 species